GAUGAACGCUGGCGGCGUGCUUAACACAUGCAAGUCGAACGAAGCACUUUUACAGAUUUCUUCGGAAUGAAGUUUUAGUGACUGAGUGGCGGACGGGUGAGUAACGCGUGGGUAACCUGCCUCACACAGGGGGAUAACAGUUGGAAACGGCUGCUAAUACCGCAUAAGCGCACAGUACUGCAUGGUACGGUGUGAAAAACUCCGGUGGUGUGAGAUGGACCCGCGUCUGAUUAGCUAGUUGGCAGGGCAACGGCCUACCAAGGCGACGAUCAGUAGCCGACCUGAGAGGGUGACCGGCCACAUUGGGACUGAGACACGGCCCAAACUCCUACGGGGGGCAGCAGUGGGGAAUAUUGCACAAUGGGGGAAACCCUGGUGCAGCGACGCCGCGUGAGCGAAGAAGUAUUUCGGUAUGUAAAGCUCUAUCAGCAGGGAAGAAGAAAUGACGGUACCUGACUAAGAAGCACCGGCUAAAUACGUGCCAGCAGCCGCCGUAA
rnacentral:rRNA from 1 species